ACUCCUACGGGAGGCAGCAGGUGGGAAUAUUGCACAAUGGGCAGCAAGCCUGAUGCAGCCAUGCCGCGUGAUGUGAAGAAGGGCCUUCGGGUUGAUAAAGCACUUUCAGUCGUGAGGAAAGGUGGUGUUGUUAAUUAGCAGCAUUCAUUUGACGUUAGCGACAGAAGAAGCACCGGCUAACUCCGUGCCAGCAGCCGCGGUAAUACGGAGGGUGCGAGCGUUAAUCGGAAUUACUGGGCGUAAAGCGCAUGCAGGUGGUUUGUUAAGUCAGAUGUGAAAGCCCGGGGCUCAACCUCGGAAUAGCAUUUGAAACUGGCAAGCUAGAGUACUGGUAGAGGGGGUAGAAUUUCAGGUGUAGCGGUGAAAUGCGUAGAGAUCUGAAGGAAUACCGGUGGCGAACGGGGCCCCCCUGGACAGAUACUGACACUCAGAUGCGAAAGCGU
rnacentral:rRNA from 1 species